CUACGGGUGGCUGCAGUGGGGAAUAUUGGACAAUGGGGGAAACCCUGAUCCAGCAAUGCCGCGUGUGUGAAGAAGGCCUGCGGGUUGUAAAGCACUUUCGGUUGGGAGGACUGCUUCUAGCACUAAUAUUGUUGGAAGUUGACGUUACCUUCAGAAGAAGCACCGGCUAACUCCGUGCCAGUAGCCGCGGUAAUAGCGGAGGGUGCAAGCGUUAAUCGGAAUUACUGGGCGUAAAGCGCGCGUAGGCGGCUAGAUCAGUCGGGUGUGAAAGCCCCGGGCUUAACCUGGGAACUGCAUCCGAUACUGUCUAGCUUGAGUACAGGAGAGGAGAGUGGAAUUCCACAUGUAGCGGUGAAAUGCGUAGAUAUGUGGAGGAACACCAAUGGCGAAGGCAGCUCUCUGGCCUGAUACUGACGCUGAGGUGCGAAAGCGUGGGGAGCAAACAGGAUUAGAUACCCGCGUAGUC
rnacentral:rRNA from 1 species